rnacentral:lncRNA from 1 species
GCCAAUUUUAUCAUUCAUCAACUGAGCUAGCAGAUUAUCAUCACUAUUUCUAGUCAUAUUUCUUUUUACUUUAUUCUGUAUGGAUCUCACAAAGUUUCAGUGGAAUCGGGCAGGUUACUUUCUUCACCUUCCAGAUUUCAGGGAAGUGGUUAAAUCUAAGUAUGUUAGCAACCUUAGCAGCUAUCUUAUCCAUGGGAUCGUGGGUUAACAGUUCUGAAUUGGAGUGCACUGUAGGGUCAGACAGAGGGUCCACGUGUCUGUCACUGUGUAUAGAGGCUAUCUUCCUCGACUUGUUGUCUCUUGUACAAAUUAUGGACUCCUCCAUAAUUUGUACAAAAGAACACACUGCCUUGAUAGAGUAUGCGAAG